UACGUAGGGGGCUAGCGUUGCUCGGAAUCACUGGGCGUAAAGGGCGCGUAGGCGGCCAUUCAAGUCGGGGGGUGAAAGCCUGUGGCUCAACCACAGAAUUGCCUUCGAUACUGUUUGGCUUGAGUAUGGUAGAGGUUGGUGGAACUGCGAGUGUAGAGGUGAAAUUCGUAGAUAUUCGCAAGAACACCAGUGGCGAAGGCGGCCAACUGGACCAUUACUGACGCUGAGG
rnacentral:rRNA from 1 species